rnacentral:rRNA from 1 species
GACGAACGCUGGCGGCGUGCUUAACACAUGCAAGUCGAACGGUAAGGCCCUUCGGGGUACACGAGUGGCGAACGGGUGAGUAACACGUGGGUGAUCUGCCCUGCACUUCAGGAUAAGCCUGGGAAACUGGGUCUAAUACCGGAUAGGACCACUGCCUGCAUGGGUGGUGGUGGAAAGCUUUUGCGGUGUGGGAUGGGCCCGCGGCCUAUCAGCUUGUUGGUGGGGUGAUGGCCUACCAAGGCGACGACGGGUAGCCGGCCUGAGAGGGUGACCGGCCACACGGGGACUGGGAUACGGCCCAGACUCCUACGGGAGGCAGCAGUGGGGAAUAUUGCACAAUGGGUGCAAGCCUGAUGCAGCGACGCCGCGUGAGGGAUGACGGCCUUCGGGUUGUAAACCUCUUUCAGCACCGACGAAGCGCAAGUGACGGUAGGUGCAGAAGAAGGACCGGCCAACUACGUGCCAGCAGCCGCCGUAA